CAAUAGCGUAUAUUAAAGUUGUUGCGGUUAAAAAGCUCGUAGUUGGAUUUCUGUUGAGGAAGUCCGGUCCGCACUUUGUGCGUGAUCUGGUUCUGCCUCGGCAUCCUCGCGGGGAACAUGCUGCGCUUGAUUGCGUGGUGUGGUAUUCGCGACUUUUACUUUGAGGAAAUUAGAGUGUUCACGGCAGACGAUUGUCUUGAAUACGUUAGCAUGGAAUAAUAAUAUAGGACCUUGGUUCUAUUUUGUUGGUUUCUAGAACUAAGGUAAUGAUUAAUAGGGAUAAUUGGGGGCAUUUGUAUUAACACGUCAGAGGUGAAAUUCUUGGAUUGUGUUACGACAAACUACUGCGAAAGCAUUUGCCAAGGAUGUUUUCAUUGA
rnacentral:rRNA from 1 species